GGGCAUGGUCCUAGGGCUUAGGUCCUCCGAGAGAGAGAAAGAGAGAAUUAGAGAACGCACACUUAGAUUCACACAGGACACCGAAUAGGACAGGAGAGGUACUCUAUUUUGAGCAUUAUCUACAACCUGUGUUAAGGUGUCCUCUUUAGCCUUGUCUACAGCCUGUGUUAAGGUGUCCUCUUUAGCCUUGUCUACAACCUGUGUUAAGGUGUCCUCUAUAGCCUUGUCUACAACCUGUGUUAAGGUGUCCUCUUCAGCCUGUGUUAAGGUGUCCUCUUCAGCCUGUGUUAAGGUGUCCUCUACAACCUGUGUUAAG
ensembl:lncRNA